rnacentral:lncRNA from 1 species
UUGAAUGCUGCUUCAUCUUUAAGAUAAUCCUACCAGUUUACUGUUAAGAAAGCAAAACUGUUACUGAUCAUGUAUGUUUAUUAGAAGCAGUUGGUCAUGGAGAACACCAGUGGCUUGAAUGAUUCAAACUUAUCUAGAUAUUUUACAGGUUACUUUUCAUCAGAAUUGCAUCAAGUUUAAGCAUGCCAAGACUGGAAAUGAUGCCUGUUGGAGAUGCUUCCUCUUGGGGACUUGUUGAGACCUGGGAACUAAAUAUUUAUUCUGUCACAGAUAUGACAGGUAAAUUACAUCUCCAGAAACUGCCUCAGACUCUCUCUCUGGUUGGUGAAAAAAGGAGAACAAAAACAAACAAACAGAAAAAUACUGUUCAUGGAAGUAAAUUUAAAGAAGAUAACACCCUUAUUUCUACAUCUCAUUAAGUGAGUCCUUAGAAAAGUCUGUGUUAUCGUUUCUCUGUUUACUCCAAUGGGUAUAUAUGAUUAUUAACUGUUUAGUUAUUUUCUCUUUCUCUCCUGUUCCCCUGCCCCUCCUUUCUUCUCUCUCCCUCUCUCCUUUCUUUAUUUUUUUCCCCCUAGAACUCUGCAAAACAGUACUCUUCAUAUCAACAUGUCAGAGUUUUGAAGACAUUUGUUGUUGUAUCCAACAAAAUAUCUUAUUUUAAGAAGGAUGACAUGAUGCAGAUACUUAGUCUCAGAAUGGAAACAUAGAAUCAUAGAAUGGCCUGGGUUGGAAGAGGACCUUAAAGACCAUCCAGUUCCAACCUUCCAGCAGUGGGCAGGGACACCUCCCACUAAACCAGGUUGCCCAGGACCCCAUGCAACCUGUCCUUGAACACUGCCAGGAAUGGGGCAUCCACAGCUUCUCCAGGCAACCUGUUCAUGUGCUUCACUACUCUCUGAGUAAAGAAUUUCUUCCUCAUAUAUAAUUUGAACCUACACAUUUUCAGUUUCAAACCAUUACCCCUAGUCUCUUCACUACAGUCCUGUGUAAAAAGUCUCUCUCCAUCUUUCUUAUAAGCCCCCUUUAAGUACUGAAAGGCCACAAUAAGGUCUUCCCAGAGCCCUCUCUUCUCCAGGCUAAACAACCCCAGCUCUCUCAGUCUUUCUUCAUAGGAGAGGUGCUCCAGCCCUCUGAUCAUCUUUGUUUCCCUCUUAUGGAC